rnacentral:rRNA from 1 species
GACGAACGCUGGCGGCGCGCUUAGCACAUGCAAGUCGAACGGAAAGGCCUGCUUUCCCUUGUGGAUUUCGGGUACUCGAGUGGCGAACGGGUGAGUAACACGUGAGUGAUCUGCCCCCAACUUGGGUAUAAGCCUGGGAAACUGGGUCUAAUUCCCGAUAGGACUGCAGGGUGGUGCCUGUGGUGGAAAACGAUUUUCUAGUGGUUGGGGAUGAGCUCGCGGCCUAUCAGCUUGUUGGUGGGGUAAUGGCCUACCAAGGCGGCGACGGGUAGCCGGCGUGAGAGGGUGGACGGCCACAUUGGGACUGGGACACGGCCCAGACUCGUACGGGAGGCAGGAAUGGGGGAUAUUGCACAAUGGGCGGAAGCCUGAUGCAGCGACGCCGCGUGGGGGAUGACGGGCUUCGGGUUGUAAACUCCUUUCGACCGCGAGGAAGCCACCUGGUUGGAAGGGUGGUGACGGUAGUGGUAGAAGAAGCACCGGCUAACUACGUG